UACGUAGGGACCGAGCGUUGUCCGGAAUCAUUGGGCGUAAAGAGCGUGUAGGCGGCUUGCUAAGUCUUGCGUGAAAAUCUCGGGGCUCAACCCCGAGCGGUCGUGGGAAACUGGCAGGCUAGAGUGCGGGAGAGGAGAAUGGAGUUCCUGGUGUAGCGGUGAAAUGCGCAGAUAUCAGGAAGAACACCCGUGGCGAAGGCGGUUCUCUGGAACGCAACUGACGCUGGAGACGCGAAAGCGUGGGGAGCAAACAGG
rnacentral:rRNA from 1 species